AAACUGUAGCUAAUACCGCGUAGUAUCGAGAGAUGAAAGUGUGGGACCUUCGGGCCACAUGCCAUAGGAUGAGCCCAAGUGGGAUUAGGUAGUUGGUGAGGUAAAGGCUCACCAAGCCGACGAUCUCUAGCUGGUCUGAGAGGAUGACCAGCCACGCUGGGACUGAGACACGGCCCAG
rnacentral:rRNA from 1 species